UUGUACAAGUGAUAGCAAAGGAUGUGUCUGUAACCAUGGAUGGGAUAAAUCAUGAGCUUCAGUGUGAAAAGCAGCAGGAACUUAUGAUAGACUGCUUUAUAUCACAAUCCCGCCAUGUUGAAGUGGAGAGAGAGCUGGAACCUUGGGUUCCUGAUGAAGAUGACCGUCAAUGCCCUGAAUUAGAGAAUAUAUUUGAUGGCCCUUGGAAUAG
rnacentral:misc_RNA from 1 species